CGGGGAGCGACUUAGCGGCGGACGGGUGAGUAACGCGUGGGUAACCUGCCCCAUACCGGGGGAUAACGGUUAGAAAUGACCGCUAAUACCGCGUAAGCGCGCGAGGCCGCAUGGCCCCGCGCGAAAAACUCCGGUGGUAUGGGAUGGGCCCGCGUCUGAUUAGCUAGUUGGCGGGGUAAAGGCCCACCAAGGGCGACGAUCAGUAGCCGACCUGAGAGGUUGGCCGGCCACAUUGGGACUGAGAUACGGCCCAGACUCCUACGGGAGGCAGCAG
rnacentral:rRNA from 1 species